GACGAACGCUGGCGGCGUGCUUACACAUGCAAGUCGAACCGAAAGGCCCUGCUUUUGUGGGGUGCUCGAGUGGCGAACGGGUGAGUAACACGUGAGUAACCUGCCCUUGACUUUGGGAUAACUUCAGGAAACUGGGGCUAAUACCGGAUAGGAGCUCCUGCUGCAUGGUGGGGGUUGGAAAGUUUCGGCGGUUGGGGAUGGACUCGCGGCUUAUCAGCUUGUUGGUGGGGUAGUGGCUUACCAAGGCUUUGACGGGUAGCCGGCCUGAGAGGGUGACCGGCCACAUUGGGACUGAGAUACGGCCCAGACUCCUACGGGAGGCAGCAGUGGGGAAUAUUGCACAAUGGGCGGAAGCCUGAUGCAGCAACGCCGCGUGCGGGAUGACGGCCUUCGGGUUGGAAACCGCUUUCGCCUGUGACGAAGCGUGAGUGACGGUAAUGGGGAAAGAAGCACCGGCUAACUACGU
rnacentral:rRNA from 1 species